GUUUUAAAGAAAUGGUUGCAAUGUGCUUGGUGAAAGACUUGACAAAGAGGCUAACUGCAGAGAAACUAUUGAAACAUUCCUUUUUCAAGAAUGCAAAGCCUCCAGAGCUUUCUGUGCAAAAAGUCUCUGCUGACUUACCUCCGUUGUGGAAUCAUGUUAAGGCAAAUUUGAGUCUUAAGGAUGCUGCACAACUAGCUUUGAAGAAAAUGCCUUCAGCUAAACAGGAAGCAUUAUCACACGUCUAAGACAUCAGAAGAAUUUAUUGGCUGUUUGAUCUUUUAUUUGUAACUUUCUGAAUGUACAUUAAUUUUGUGCUCAAUCUUAGUUUAGAUAAAUCUUAGUUUAGAUAAAUCUUAGUUUAGAUAUUAGUUCGAUUAUUUUUUGUAGGUAUCAUCUGGGACUUUUUCAGCAAAAAAAAUGCAGAUUUAGUACAUUCAUUCUCAUUGUUACAGUUGUUUUUAGGAAAAAAAAAACGUCCCUCGUUUAAUGAUCCCUUCUCAAAA